rnacentral:lncRNA from 1 species
UCUUAACUCCGGUGCAACUCCUGCUGCAUGUCUUACUUCCAUCGUAGUUAAUCCUGCACAUGUAAAACAAAACUUCGAUCGAGACAAUUAAUCCUAAGCAAUUAACCAAGUUGUCCGGCAUGUCAUUGGUCCCUCGACGCUUCGUCCGAUUCUUCGGCGCAUCGUCCUCUUCUGCGGCCUAUUGCCCAAUCGGCCAAUUGACU